ACCCUCUCCGGAUCGCACCUGUAGAGCUUCCUGUACUCUUCCAGUCUCGACUAUGGGAGGGAGAGUCAAGCAGAGGCAUACCCAUUCCAUUCCUAGCUUGGCCAGUGGCUAGUGAGUGGAAGGCAAUCUGCUACAAGU